UACGGGAGCCAGCAGUGGGGAAUUUUCCGCAAUAGGCGAAAGCCUGAUGGAGCAAUACCGCGUGAGGGAUGAAGGAUCAUGGUCUGUAAACCUCUUUUCUUAGGGAAGAAUCAAUGACGGUACCUAAGGAAUAAGCACCGGCUAACUCCGUGCCAGCAGCCGCGGUAAUACGGGGGGUGCAAGCGUUGUCCGGAAUGAUUGGGCGUAAACCAUCUGUAGGUGGUUUUUAAAGUCGACUGUUAAAGCCCAGGGCUUAACUUUGGAAAAGCGGUCGAGUACUUAAGGACUUGAGUUUGGUAGGGGUAGAGGGAAUUCCUAGUGGAGCGGUGAAAUGCACAGAGAUUAGGAGGAACACCGAGGGCGAAAGCACUCUACUGGGCCACAACUGACACUGAGAGAUGAAAGUCGGGGGCGCGAAAAGGAUUAGAUACCCUUGUAGUCCCGACUGUAAACGAUGGAUACUAAGUGCUGGCAAAACCAGUGCUGUAGCUAACGCGUUAAGUAUCCCGCCUGGGGAGUAUGCUCGCAAGAGUGAAACUCAAAGGAAUUGACGG
rnacentral:rRNA from 1 species